ACUCACUUCUUGUUUGGGGGAAAUAUUAUCAUAACCUUAGUUUUGAAGUUUCAAAACUCCUUGUCGUACACCUCCUCAACCCAUCUCACCCUCUCGUUUUCCCUCUCAAUCCCUUCUCAACUCCCCCAUAACCCUACCUCUCUCUCUCUCCCUCGACUCUGUUGUAAUCCCUCCCCAAAUCUCUCACCAACUUUCCCUUAGUCUGAGUGCAAUCCCUUAUUUCCACUUUCUUUUGCUUCGUCUUUCACCGUUUAGAGGUUCAUUUUCGUCUUUAUUGUUUCGAAGGUUGGUUAUCGUCUUUCCCCUUUUGAACUUCGAUUUUCAUCAUUUGGAACCACUUAUGAAGAUCUGAGAUGGUUUUGCGUUUUGUUGAUGAAAGCAUUUAUUUGUGUUGCCUCCGUAACGAUACACCAUCCAUAUUUGGGUUUCAUUGACUGGCUUCAUUUCCACGAUUAAGGCCUCUAAAACCCUUUUCGGGAAUAAGUAUGGUUUGUUGCAUGACUGGUCUUCUAGUCUUGUCGCUCUGACUUGCCCUUGCAGCUCGAAUUUUUCCUUUACUGAGAAUUGACGGAUGCUAUAUCUUGAAUGGCAGUGGAUCGUUCCGAACAAGUAAAUUUAAUGGACUUGUGUGUGUGCGUGAAUGCAUCCACCUUUUCGUGUGUUGAGACGUAUAAAAACUGCAGUACGCCAGAGAUCACAAUUUUAAUUUUCGAGGUACUAGGGUUUUCUUGUUUAAAGUACUUCUUUUUCCUACGAUUAUUUUUUUUCGUUACAACAUUGUAAUAUGUAGGAAAGAUUACCCACAAACUGUGACCAUGUAAACUUUGUAAGAGGACUGCCAUAUUUUUUUCUAAUGUAGUUUAGAAGUUCAUUUUCCA